rnacentral:rRNA from 1 species
GAUGAACGCUAGCGGCAGGCCUAAUACAUGCAAGUCGUACGGCAACACAGUUGCGAGCAAUCGCAACCGGUGGCGAGUGGCGCACGGGUGAGCAACGCGUAUGUAACCUACCCUUCUCCGGGACAUAACUCCGCGAAAGCGGUGCUAAUAUCCCAUACCAACUCAUCAAGACAUCUUCUUGAGUUGAAAGCAGCAAUGCGGUGAAGGAUGGGCAUGCGUCCCAUUAGCUGGUUGGUGAGGUAAUGGCCCACCAAGGCUACGAUGGGUAGGGGUUCUGAGAGGAAAGCCCCCCACACUGGUACUGAGACACGGACCAGACUCCUACGGGAGGCAGCAGUAAGGAAUAUUGGGCAAUGGUCGAAAGACUGACCCAGCCAUGCCGCGUGCAGGAUGAAGGCCCUAUGGGUUGUAAACUGCUUUUAGCCGGGAAUAAACACCCGUUUUAUAACGGGCCCGAAGGUACCGGCUGAAUAAGCAUCGGCUAACUCCGUG